rnacentral:rRNA from 1 species
GACGAACGCUGGCGGCGUGCUUAACACAUGCAAGUCGAACGGAAAGGCCCUGCUUUUGUGGGGUGCUCGAGUGGCGAACGGGUGAGUAACACGUGAGUAACCUGCCCUUGACUUUGGGAUAACUUCAGGAAACUGGGGCUAAUACCGGAUAGGAGCUCCUGCUGCAUGGUGGGGGUUGGAAAGUUUCGGCGGUUGGGGAUGGACUCGCGGCUUAUCAGCUUGUUGGUGGGGUAGUGGCUUACCAAGGCUUUGACGGGUAGCCGGCCUGAGAGGGUGACCGGCCACAAUGGGACUGAGAUACGCCCCAGACUCCUACGGGAGGCAGCAGUGGGGAAUAUUGCACAAUGGGCGGAAGCCUGAUGCAGCAACGCCGCGUGCGGGAUGACGGCAUUCGGGUUGUAAACCGCUUUCGCCUGUGACGAAGCGUGAGUGACGGUAAUGGGUAAAGAAGCACCGGCUAACUACGUG